GGCGACCGGGUGAGUACACGUGACUAACCUGCCCUUGAGUGGGGGAUAACCUCGGGAAACCGGGGCUAAUACCGCAUAACAUCGCAAGAUCAAAGGAGCAAUCCGCUGAAGGAGGGGGUCGCGGCUGAUUAGUUAGUUGGUGAGGUAACGGCUCACCAAGACGAAGAUCAGUAGCCGGCCUGAGAGGGCGCACGGCCACACUGGAACUGAAACACGGUCCAGACUCCUACGGGAGGCAGCAGUGGGGAAUUUUGCGCAAUGGGGGAAACCCUGACGCAGCAACGCCGCGUGGAGGAUGAAGUCCCUUGGGAUGUAAACUCCUUUCGAUCGGGACGAUUAUGACGGUACCGGAAGAAGAAGCACCGGCUAACUCUGUGCCAGCAGCCGCGGUAAUACAGAGGGUGCGAGCGUUGUUCGGAAUUAUUGGGCGUAAAGGGCGCGUAGGCGGUGCGGUAAGACUGUGGUGAAAUCUCCGGGCUCAACUCGGAAAUUGCCGCGGUGACUGCCGUGCUGGAGUGUGGGAGAGGUGAGUGGAAUUCCCGGUGUAGCGGUGAAAUGCGUAGAUAUCGGGAGGAACACCUGUGGCGAAAGCGGCUCACUGGACCACAACUGACGCUGAGGCGCGAAAGCUAGGGGAGCAAACAGGAUUAGAUACCCUGGUAGUCCUAGCCCUAAACGAUGAUUGCUUGGUGUGUCGGGUACCCAAUCCCGACGUGCCGCAGCUAACGCGAUAAGCAAUCCGCCUGGGGAGUACGGUCGCAAGACUGAAACUCAAAGGAAUUGACGGGGGCC
rnacentral:rRNA from 1 species